rnacentral:misc_RNA from 1 species
GCGGCCGCGCGCGCGAUCCGCGAUGUCAGGUUGAGAUCGAGCAGGAAAUUCUGGCCCAGCGAUUUGCGCGCGGACAGUUCAAAGCGGCGGAUGACGUCGCUGAGCGGAGGCAGAUCGUCGAUGGCGCUCAUGCCUUCGAUGCCGAGGCCAUGCGUGCCGCGAGGCGCAGCGCCGCGAUCAGGCUCGACGGAUUGGCGCGGCCGGUGCCUGCGAUGUCGAACGCCGUGCCGUGGUCCGGCGAGGUGCGAAUGAACGGCAGUCCCAGCGUGACGUUGACGCCAUCAUCGAAGGCGAUGGUCUU